rnacentral:rRNA from 1 species
AUUGAACGCUGGCGGAAUGCUUUACACAUGCAAGUCGAACGGCAGCACGGGAGCAAUCCUGGUGGCGAGUGGCGAACGGGUGAGUAAAGUAUCGGAACGUGCCCAGUCGUGGGGGAUAACGUAGCGAAAGUUACGCUAAUACCGCAUACGAUCUAUGGAUGAAAGCGGGGGAUCGCAAGACCUCGCGCGAUGGGAGCGGCCGAUAUCAGAUUAGGUAGUUGGUGGGGUAAAGGCUCACCAAGCCGACGAUCUGUAGCUGGUCUGAGAGGACGACCAGCCACACUGGGACUGAGACACGGCCCAGACUCCUACGGGAGGCAGCAGUGGGGAAUUUUGGACAAUGGGCGAAAGCCUGAUCCAGCCAUGCCGCGUGCAGGAUGAAGGCCCUCGGGUUGUAAACUGCUUUUGUACGGAACGAAAAGGUCUCUCUUAAUACGGGGGACUCAUGACGGUACCGUAAGAAUAAGCACCGGCUAACUACGUGCCAGCCGCCGCAGUAA